CGGGAGCCGCUUCCUUGGGAAGCAUUUUCCAGAAGCCACAGGAUGCCCAGCCUCAUCCCAAGAGUCCCUCCAAGGAAGUAUACUUCAAAAGCUACUGUGAAGGACAGUUUCCUGGAGCAUUUACAGGCCAACUGACCAGUUGGAGUGUUUUCCAGCCUGAGACUUUCAGCAUUUGGCUUUGAAGUACUCAUUCCCAAGGCAUAUGUGAGAACUUUGUAGAUGGGCAUGCCUGAACUCCGUCUAUGCUCUGUGUUCUAGACAGAGAUCAUGCACCAAGUUGCCCAAGUUUUUCCUCAUCCUCUUAUGCGACUUCCUGCCAUCAUCCACUGUGAGCCCCAGGAACCCAGUAAGCCCUCUCCAUGCUUGGGCUGAAUCUCACCGGAUCAGGCAUUUGGAUGUCAAAUGUGCUGUCCAGAGCUGAGAGCAGAUCAUAUGAUGUCUGAACAAGUCUCUCACCUUAGGCCCAGUGAGGUUUUGCUCUCCUAGAGACCUUGUGAUGGGGCACUGCCGGAUCUGUUCCUGCCGUAACUGCAGACAUUAAACCAAACCAAUCACACACAUGGUUGAUGGCACCAAACAGAUAGCGUGUAUCCUGGUCAUGCCUCUUUGUCUCUUCUGCUAGCAGACUCUUGAUCAAACACCACUCUUUUCCUUUUUUUGAGACAGAUUCUCACCAUGUGUGGCUGGUCUUGAACUUGCUAUCAGAGGUCACCCUCCAGGCACAGCCUUUGAUUCACAAGGGUUACACAUAUACUACCAUCUGUGGGUUUUAUCCUUCAUUAUACUUCAAUGAGAAUCAGUCAUUGAAAUUUACACUUAACAUAAAAACUUUUUUAAAA